UGCAAGAACAACCAGUGUUCUUAACCACUGAGCCAUCUCUCCGGCCCCUAACAUCCUACUUUUAAAAACACUUAAAUAGGACUGGAGAGAUGGCUCAGCAGUUAAGAGUACUUAUUACUCUUCCAGAGGAC
rnacentral:miRNA from 1 species